rnacentral:rRNA from 1 species
GGAGGUAGUGACAAUAAAUCACAAUGCGGAACAAUGUUUUGCAAUUGGAUUGAGAACAACGUACAAACCUUAUCGAUAAACAAUUGGAGGGCAAGUCUGGUGCCAGCAGCCGCGGUAAUUCCAGCUCCAAUAGCGUAUAUUAACGUUGUUGCAGUUAAAAAGCUCGUAGUUGAAAUGAAGGGUAGUUGUGUAAUGAAUACAUUCGUGUAUUUUGUUAUUCAACUACCCUCCUUCUAAAUUCGAUAUAUGAGUAUUAAUUUACUUGUAUAUGGUUUUAGACCUUUACUGUGAGAAAAUUAGAGUGUUCAAAGCAGGCAUUUGCUUGAAUAUAUUAGCAUGGAAUAAUCAUGUAUGAUUUUCAUGAUGUAUUUGAUUGGUUUGGUUCAUGAGAAUAAGAUUAAAAGGGACAGUUGGGGGUAUUCAUAUUCAAUAGUCAGAGGUGAAAUUCUCGGAUUUAUGGAAGAUGAACAAGUGCGAAAGC